CGCUUGCGGGGGUGAUUAGUGGCGAACGGGUGAGUAAUACGUGAGUAACCUGCCCUUGACUCUGGGAUAAGCCUGGGAAACCGGGUCUAAUACUGGAUACUACUCCUCAUCGCAUGGUGGGGGGUGGAAAGGGUUCUACUGGUUUUGGAUGGGCUCACGGCCUAUCAGCUUGUUGGUGGGGUAAUGGCUCACCAAGGCGACGACGGGUAGCCGGCCUGAGAGGGUGACCGGCCACACUGGGACUGAGACACGGCCCAGACUCCUACGGGAGGCAGCAGUGGGGAAUAUUGCACAAUGGGCGGAAGCCUGAUGCAGCGACGCCGCGUGAGGGAUGACGGCCUUCGGGUUGUAAACCUCUUUCAGCAGGGAAGAAGCCACAAGUGACGGUACCUGCAGAAGAAGCGCCGGCUAACUACGUGCCAGCAGCCGCGGUAAUACGUAGGGCGCAAGCGUUGUCCGGAAUUAUUGGGCGUAAAGAGCUCGUAGGCGGUCUGUCGCGUCUGCUGUGAAAGCCCGGGGCUCAACCCCGGGUCUGCAGUGGGUACGGGCAGACUAGAGUGCAGUAGGGGAGACUGGAAUUCCUGGUGUAGCGGUGAAAUGCGCAGAUAUCAGGAGGAACACCGAUGGCGAAGGCAGGUCUCUGGGCUGUUACUGACGCUGAGGAGCGAAAGCAUGGGGAGCGAACAGGAUUAGAUACCCUGGUAGUCCAUGCCGUAAACGUUGGGCACUAGGUG
rnacentral:rRNA from 1 species